rnacentral:rRNA from 1 species
AUUGAACGCUGGCGGCAUGCCUAACACAUGCAAGUCGAGCGAGCGGCGGACGGGUGAGUAAUGUAUGGGGACUGCCCGCUAGAGGGGGCUAACUAAUAGAAACGGUAGCUAAUACUGCAUACUGUGCGAUAACCCAUCUGGGAUUAGCUAGUAGGUAAGGUAAUGGCCUACGUAGGCGACGAUCCCUAGCUGGUCUGAGAGGACGAUCAGCCAAACUGGGACUGAGACACGGCCCAGACUCCUACGGAGGCAGCAGUGGGGAAUAUUGCACAAUGGGCGCAAGCCUGAUGCAGCCAUGCCGCGUGUAUGAAGAAGGCCCUAGGGUUGUAAAGUACUUUCAGUCGGGAGGCGUUACCGACAGAAGAAGCACCGGCUAACUCCGUGCCAGCAGCCGCGGUAAUUC